rnacentral:rRNA from 1 species
GACGAACGCUGGCGGCGUGCUUAACACAUGCAAGUCGAACGGAAAGGCCCUGCUUGUGUGGGGUGCUCGAGUGGCGAACGGGUGAGUAACACGUGAGUAACCUGCCCUUGACUUUGGGAUAACUUCAGGAAACUGGGGCUAAUACCGGAUAGGAGCUCCUGCUGCAUGGUGGGGGUUGGAAAGUUUCGGCGGUUGGGGAUGGACUCGCGGCUUAUCAGCUUGUUGGUGGGGUAGUGGCUUACCAAGGCUUUGACGGGUAGCCGGCCUGAGAGGGUGACCGGCCACAUUGGGACUGCGAUACGGCCCAGACUCCUACAGGAGGCAGCAGUGGGGAAUAUUGCCCAGUGGGCGGACGCCUGAUGCAGCAACGCCGCGUGCGGGGUGACGGCCUUCGGGUUGUAAACCGCUUUCGCCUGUGACGCAGCGUGAGUGACGGUAAUGGGUAAAGAAGCACCGGCUAACUACGUG